UACAGAGGUCUCAAGCGUUGUUCGGAUUCAUUGGGCGUAAAGGGUGCGUAGGCGGCGCGGUAAGUCGGAUGUGAAAUUUCGAGGCUUAACUUCGAAACUGCAUUCGAUACUGCCGUGCUAGAGGACUGGAGAGGAGACUGGAAUUUACGGUGUAGCGGUGAAAUGCGUAGAUAUCGUAAGGAAGACCAGUGGCGAAGGCGGGUCUCUGGACAGUUCCUGACGCUGAGGCACGAAGGUCAGGGGAGCAAACGGG
rnacentral:rRNA from 1 species